rnacentral:rRNA from 1 species
AGAGUUUGAUCCUGGCUCAGAACGAACGCUGGCGGCAGGCCUAACACAUGCAAGUCGUGCGCUCCUUCGGGAGAGCGGCGGACGGGUGAGUAACACGUGGGAACGUACCCUUUCGUUCGGGAUAACCACUGGAAACGGUGGCUAAAACCGGAUGCGCCCUUCGGGGGAAGGAAGGAUCGGCCCGCGCCUGAUUAGGUAGUUGGUGGGGUAACGGCCUACCAAGCCGACGAUCAGUAGCUGGUCUGAGAGGAUGAUCAGCCACACUGGGACUGAGACACGGCCCAGACUCCUACGGGAGGCAGCAGUGGGGAAUCUUGGACAAUGGGGGAAACCCUGGUCCAGCCAUGCCGCGUGAGCGAUGAAGGCCUUAGGGUUGUAAAGCUCUUUCACCGGUGAAGAUAAUGACGGUAGCCGGAGAAGAAGCCCCGGCUAACUCCGUGCCAGCAGCCGCGGUAAUACGGAGGGGGCUAGCGUUGUUCGGAAUUACUGGGCGUAAAGCGCGCGUAGGCGGGCUGUUAAGUCGGGGGUGAAAUCCCAGGGCUCAACCCUGGAACUGCCUCCGAUACUGGCAGCCUAGAGGACGGGAGAGGCCAGUGGAAUGGCGAGUGUAGAGGUGAAAUUCGUAGAUAUUCGCCGGAACACCAGUGGCGAAGGCGACUGGCUGGCCCGUUACUGACGCUGAGGUGCGAAAGCGUGGGGAGCAAACAG